rnacentral:tRNA from 1 species
GCGAGAGUGGUGAAAUUGGUAGACACGCCAGACUUAGGAUCUGGUGCUCCGGCAUGGGGGUUCGAGUCCCUUCUCUCGCA